GACGAACGCUGGCGGCGUGCUUAACACAUGCAAGUCGAACGGAAAGGCCCAGCUUUUGUGGGGUGCUCGAGUGGCGAACGGGUGAGUAACACGUGAGUAACCUGCCCUUGACUGUGGGAUAACUUCAGGAAACUGGGGCUAAUACGGGAUAGGAGCUCCUGCUGCAUGGUGGGGGUUGGAAAGUUUAGGCGGUUGGGGAUGGGCUCGCGGCUUAUCCGCUUGUUGGUGGGGUAGUGGCUUACCAAGGCUUUGACGGGUAGCCGGCCUGAGAGGGUGACCGGCCACGUUGGGACUGUGUUUCGGCCCAGACUCCUCCGGGAGUCAGCAGUGGGGACUAUUGCACAAUGCGCGGAAUCCUGCUGCAGCAACGCCGCGUGCGGGAUGACCGCCUUCGGGUUGUAAACCGCUUUCGUCUGUGACGAAGCGGGAUUGACGGUAAUGGGUAAAGAAGCACCGGCUAACUACGUG
rnacentral:rRNA from 1 species